UAAUGUUCAUUGAAAAAUUUUAUAGGCCUAUUUCAAAUAGAAUUUUAAUAUCGUUAAUUAUUUAAUUUUUAAAAAAAAAAAAUGAAAGCCUACAUUAAUUAAUUAACAAAAAUCAUAAAAGCACACAGUGAGUCAACGUUGGGGCCAAAGGUAUUUUAUCUUGGAAAACAACCAACGGCUCAAAUCUGUUUAUUGGAAAACGUGAUAUGCCUAUUUGAAAUUCGAUUUUAAUACUCUUAAAUUAUUUUUUUAUAUUUUAAUGAAAGCUUACUUUAUUAACAUAACAUAAAAAAGAAAAUCACACAGUAAUAAGCUCUAGAAGACAAAGGUAAAUCAUGUUGAUGUUGAGUAAAAUAGGCCUUAUCCAAAAAAGGGCGUGUCACUUUGACAUUUUCAAAUGGUCCAUUUUAAGGUGUAUGGAAAUUACAUUUCAAAUCUGGGAAUCGAAACAACAAAAAUCGACAAUAAUUUACGGCCUUAUAGACCAAUUCAUAAACCGUCACAAAUGCCGUCUCUCAAUUCAUUCCGGACUGUACCACGCUUUAUCUAUGCAUGUUUUAAAAAUAUGAAUCAUGUUUUAUAAAUUCCCGAAAAAAACACACAACUAACGUAUGAUUGUAUGUGAUAAUUCUCGGUAGUUUUGUUACCGAAAAUACUAUAAAACUACGAAAUUAAAGAGAUUUAGUUCAUCGAUAUAGAUAUCGUAACGUCGUUGAGCGAACUGUCAGUGUGCGUUUUAUUACAGACAAUUUCCAAGAUGCAUUGCGCGUCGCUGUGUUACUAUGCGCCGUAAUGCGAGUCGCCACUCUGUGUAUUUUUACUCUGUGCUAAUAAUGGUACCGUAAUAAAAGUAAUAAGCUAAUAAUAUGUAAUAGCCAAAAUUUACACUUUUAACUCAUCGUAGCAGAUUAGGGCUUCCUUUUUUAUAUUAUAAUUAUAAUUUAUUAUUGUUUUAUUAGCAUUAACUUAAAACUGCAUUACAUCCUUAUUGGUUUAUUUAUGUUUCUGAUCACUUGUACUCCAAUAUGGGAUUACAUUAUAUAUUUUCCCAAGAACUCAAUAAAACCAAUCAAAAGUAUUAACUUUUAAAUCACUGACUUGAGAGGACUAAUUAAGCUGUUCCUUGUCUUUGAAAUACUAAAUACCGACAAUGGUUUUAUAUCAGAAACCGAUUUUUAUUUAUUUAGUUUUUUUUCAAUCCAGAAAAUUCAUGAAGCUUAAGGCAGACAAGACGGAGAAAAGCUGGUUGACUGGGAAGGCGACUAUAGUAGGGUCUGCCAUCAAGAAGAUGGAGAAAGUUGUGGGGGUUUUAUGUAUGCGGAGGCUUUAAUGGUGGGCGUUCAUUCCAUAAUAACGAGGAUGCAACAUGUACCAAUAUAUAGAAAAUAUAUUGCUGGGGCAUUAGUAUAUACUAUAACCAACACAUCAACCCUUUGUGACCCGUCAGCUACAUGCCUGAGGCCGAAAAACAAACUUAUACAAUGGAUAGAAUGUGACAAUUGUGUGCAUGGACUGCAUGUUAAAUGUGCAUUGGAUCAAUGCGGGAGAUUUUUAAAGUGCAUUAUUAAAGUGGGGUCUCAGGUUAGGAGCAGAACAGUGGGACGUUAAACCCCAUUUCAUUUCAUUUAUUAAAGUGGGUAUGCCCGUCUGUCUGUCCAUCACACUUUUUGGAACACAAUAACUCUGCUUUUAUUGAACUAGACUAUUCAAACUUGCUGUAUGUGGUUAUUAGGUGAAUGCUUUAACAGUGUUUGAUGAUAAGCAUUUUCAGCUUAGACGGAGAUAAAUUCCUGGAUUAUGACCCCUAAAAAUUCCAGUUUAUAGCUUGUGGUCCCUAUAGAGGUCAGAAUAUUUAUUCGACUUUAUAAUCUGUUCAAAUAUAUCAGCCUUACAUCCUAAUGAUGGAUGAGUUUGAGUUCAUUCGACUGAAACUGCCUGACAAAAAUGGCAGCUCCAGGUAAUUAAUACCAGGGUUGUGAACCCUCUAAAGGGUCACAGUUUGUGUCUGAUUUUGAUGAAACUUAUGAUUAGGUUGUGGACCCAUGAAAUGUCUCAAUUGUUAUCCGAUGUUAAAAAUCAUUUAAUAUCCGAUUGACUUUUUAUACACAAUGUUUAAGGUCGUCAGAUGAAGACGCCUUUGAGUUUUUAAAUAUUUCUGAUAAUUACUGCCAGAGUUAUGGACCUUUAUUACUAGAAGCCAAACAAAUUCUACUGAUUUUCUAUUAAUUACCUAAUGAGUUGUUACUCUUAAUCAUAUUUUAGUGUAUUAUAAAUGCUUCAUUGCGAACAAAAGAAAAAAUAUGUGACGACUUAGCUGCGGUUUGCGUAUGUAUCGUUGCCUGGCAGCCUAUCUUUUUAGAUUGUUCUGUCCAUCUCUCGCUAAUGUGGACGUAUGACAACCGCUUGUUCAAUACUGUGUUUUUGUACAUUUAUAUAUAUUUAAAUUAGUGAAUAGUUAAUUGGGGAUUAUUUGAUAUAUAGGGAUUAUUGUUACAUGGGGAUUAUUACCUAUCUGUAAUAAAGAAUUCUUGAAGGGA